rnacentral:rRNA from 1 species
GACGAACGCUGGCGGCGUGCUUAACACAUGCAAGUCGAACGGAAGGGCCCUGCUUGUGUGUGGUUCUCGAGGGGCAAGCGUGUGAGUAACACGGGAGUAACCUUCCCUGUGGUGGGGGAUGACUGCAAGAGACUGGUGCUAAUACCUGAGACGAGCGCGUGAUACAGGGGGGGGGUUGGAAAUUUUGGGCGGUUGUGGAUGUACGCGCGGCUUAUCAGCUUGUGGGGUGGGUAGUGACUUACCAAGGCUUUGGCGGGUAGCCUGCCUGAGAGGGUAACCGGCCACAUUGGGACUGAGAUACGGCCCAGACUCGUACGGGAGGCAGAAGUGGGGAAUAUUGCACAAUGGGCGGAAGCCUGAUGCAGCAACGCCGCGUGCGGGAUGACGGCCUUCGGGUUGUAAACCGCUUUCGACUGUGACGAAGCGUGAGUGACGGUAAUGGGUAAAGAAGCACCGGCUAACUACGUG